rnacentral:rRNA from 1 species
UACGUAGGGUCCGAGCGUUGUCCGGAAUUAUUGGGCGUAAAGGGCUCGUAGGCGGUCUGUUGCGUCGGGAGUGAAAACUUACAGCUUAACUGUGAGCGUGCUUUCGAUACGGGCAGACUUGAGGCAUUCAGGGGAGAACGGAAUUCCUGGUGUAGCGGUGAAAUGCGCAGAUAUCGGAGGAACACCAAUGCCGAGGCAGCUGCUGGACGUACUGGACGCUGAUGCGC